GGGUUCCUGUCCAACGUUAAUCGGGGCAGGGUGAGUCGACCCCUAAGGCGAGGCCGAAAGGCGUAGUCGAUGGGAAACAGGUUAAUAUUCCUGUACUUGGUGUUACUGCGAAGGGGGGACGGAGAAGGCUAUGUUGGCCGGGCGACGGUUGUCCCGGUUUAAGCGUGUAGGCUGGUUUUCCAGGCAAAUCCGGAAAAUCAAGGCUGAGGCGUGAUGACGAGGCACUACGGUGCUGAAGCAACAAAUGCCCUGCUUCCAGGAAAAGCCUCUAAGCAUCAGGUAACAUCAAAUCGUACCCCAAACCGACACAGGUGGUCAGGUAGAGAAUACCAAGGCGCUUGAGAGAACUCGGGUGAAGGAACUAGGCAAAAUGGUGCCGUAACUUCGGGAGAAGGCACGCUGAUAUGUAGGUGAAGUCCCUCGCGGAUGGAGCUGAAAUCAGUCGAAGAUACCAGCUGGCUGCAACUGUUUAUUAAAAACACAGCACUGUGCAAACACGAAAGUGGACGUAUACGGUGUGACGCCUGCCCGGUGCCGGAAGGUUAAUUGAUGGGGUUAGCGCAAGCGAAGCUCUUGAUCGAAGCCCCGGUAAACGGCGGCCGUAACUAUAACGGUCCUAAGGUAGCGAAAUUCCUUGUCGGGUAAGUUCCGACCUGCACGAAUGGCGUAAUGAUGGCCAGGCUGUCUCCACCCGAGACUCAGUGAAAUUGAACUCGCUGUGAAGAUGCAGUGUACCCGCGGCAAGACGGAAAGACCCCGUGAACCUUUACUAUAGCUUGACACUGAACAUUGAGCCUUGAUGUGUAGGAUAGGUGGGAGGCUUUGAAGUGUGGACGCCAGUCUGCAUGGAGCCGACCUUGAAAUACCACCCUUUAAUGUUUGAUGUUCUAACGUUGACCCGUAAUCCGGGUUGCGGACAGUGUCUGGUGGGUAGUUUGACUGGGGCGGUCUCCUCCUAAAGAGUAACGGAGGAGCACGAAGGUUGGCUAAUCCUGGUCGGACAUCAGGAGGUUAGUGCAAUGGCAUAAGCCAGCUUGACUGCGAGCGUGACGGCGCGAGCAGGUGCGAAAGCAGGUCAUAGUGAUCCGGUGGUUCUGAAUGGAAGGGCCAUCGCUCAACGGAUAAAAGGUACUCCGGGGAUAACAGGCUGAUACCGCCCAAGAGUUCAUAUCGACGGCGGUGUUUGGCACCUCGAUGUCGGCUCAUCACAUCCUGGGGCUGAAGUAGGUCCCAAGGGUAUGGCUGUUCGCCAUUUAAAGUGGUACGCGAGCUGGGUUUAGAACGUCGUGAGACAGU
rnacentral:rRNA from 1 species